CGCCCAGCGGCUCCUGGCGCUGCAGGAGGCGAGCCGAAAGCGAGGGGCGUGGCUGUACCCAGGGUCCCGCCCACCGCGGAGCGGCUCCAGCUUCGUCUGGAGAGCGGCUGGAAGCGGCUAUUUCGGGCUGGUCUCUGCCGGAAGUGGUGGUUCCUGGUGCUUGUCUCACAGUCUCUGGACACCGCCCUGUAGCGACCGAGGUACCGGGGCUGGGUGAUCUCAGACCUACCCCGACGGCGUGACCCUGCCACAUGCCCUCCCUCAUCCCUCCGACUUUAUCCAGCCGGGGGGCGGGGGGGCCUGCUCUGGAAGGGAACUCGGGUUUGUCCGUGGUGGGGGAACCAAGAUCCCACAUGCCGCAGGGCAACUAAGCCGGCAGGCUCUAGAGUCGGAACGCCACAACUAGAGAGAAGCCGGCGCGCUGCAACGAAGGAUUCCUCAGGCCACAAGAUCCUGGGCUAAGAAACUAAACCAGACACAGAAAACUGCGGGUGUGCGAAGACAGGGUCAGCUAGCCAGCUCUGAGCCCUGGGAGCACCUGAAACUCCAUUUAAAACUGUCAC